ACUCACUAAUAAACGGUCAAAGUGUAAACAUGUCGUUUUAUUAGUAGUCCGGAUUGGAAUCCGUGAACUUCCAACAGGUUAUGGGGCCCAGACACAUUGAACUGUGACAAUUAAUCUGCAGCGCCAGUUUGCACUGGAAGGGGUGUCAAUAACACUCGCUGUAUGAUUAAAUUGUGAUUGUGUGUUCUGCGGAAAGUUUCGGCGCUGAUUCGCGCUAUGGCAGUGGUGGCGGUAACUCCAAGUAUGGCGGUUGGUAUGGCAUCGUUUCGUCUGAGGAGGUAGUCACAAAGUGGUGGCGGUAACUCCAAGUAUGGCGGUUGGUAUGGCAUCGUUUCGUCUGAGGAGGUAGUCACAUGGCAGAUGGUCGCGUCGAUGAUGGUCGAUGGUCAAGUCAAUGGCAGACGACAAAAUUGGUCGAGUCAUGGCAGAUGACAAAUGGUCACUUCGAUGACGGUCGGUAGGCGUAAUACUGGGUGAGCAGUACAAUCUCACAAACGGUUCAGCAUCAAAAAAAAAAA